rnacentral:rRNA from 1 species
CCUACGGGCGGCAGCAGUGAGGAAUAUUGGUCAAUGGACGAGAGUCUGAACCAGCCAAGUCGCGUGAAGGAUGACUGCCCUAUGGUUUGUAAACUUCUUUUAUAUGGGAAUAAAACGUUCCACGUGUGGGAUUUUGUAUGUCCCCUAUGAAUAAGCAUCGGCUAACUCCGUGCCAGCAGCCGCGGUAAUACGGAGGAUCCGAGCGUUAUCCGGAUUUAUUGGGUUUAAAGGGAGCGUAGGUGGAUUGUUAAGUCAGUUGUGAAAGUUUGCGGCUCAACCGUAAAAUUGCAGUUGAAACUGGCAGUCUUGAGUACAGUAGAGGUAGGCGGAAUGCGUGGUGUAGCGGUGAAAUGCUUAGAUAUCACGAAGAACUCCGAUUGCGAAGGCAGCUUACUGGACUGCAACUGACACUGAGGCUCGAAAGUGUGGGGAUCAAACAGGAGUAGAUACCCCAGUAGUC